ACUCCUACGGGAGGCAGCAGUGGGGAAUAUUGCACAAUGGGCGCAAGCCUGAUGCAGCCAUGCCGCGUGUGUGAAGAAGGCCUUCGGGUUGUAAAGCACUUUCUAGUUGUUGAGGAAGGUGGUGUCGUUAAUAAGCGGCAUCAUUUGUACGUUAGCAACAGAAGAAGCACCGGCUAACUCCGUGCCAGCAGCCGCGGUAAUACGGAGGGUGCGAGCGUUAAUCGGAAUUACUGGGCGUAAAGCGCAUGCAGGUGGUUUGUUAAGUCAGAUGUGAAAGCCCGGGGCUCAACCUCGGAACUGCAUUUGAAACUGGCAGACUAGAGUACUGUAGAGGGGGUAGAAUUUCAGGUGUAGCGGUGAAAUGCGUAGAGAUCUGAAGGAAUACCGGUGGCGAAGGCGGCCCCCUGGACAGAUACUGACACUCAGAUGCGAAAGCGUGGGGAGCGAAACAGGAUUAGAUACCCUGGUAGCACAGAG
rnacentral:rRNA from 1 species